rnacentral:rRNA from 1 species
AUUGAACGCUGGCGGCAUGCCUUACACAUGCAAGUCGAACGGCAGCACGGGUGCUUGCACCUGGUGGCGAGUGGCGAACGGGUGAGUAAUACAUCGGAACGUACCUUAUCGUGGGGGAUAACGCAGCGAAAGCUGUGCUAAUACCGCAUACGCCCUGAGGGGGAAAGCGGGGGAUCGAAAGACCUCGCGCGAUUAGAGCGGCCGAUGCCUGAUUAGCUUGUUGGUGGGGUAAAAGCCCACCAAGGCGACGAUCAGUAGCUGGUCUGAGAGGACGAUCAGCCACACUGGGAAUGGGACACGGCCCAGACUCCUACGGGAGGCAGCAGUGGGGAAUUUUGGACAAUGGGGGCAGCCCUGAUCCAGCAAUGCCGCGUGAGUGAAGAAGGCCUUCGGGUUGUAAAGCUCUUUUGUCAGGGAAGAAACACCGGCUCUAACACAGUCCGGGAAUGACGGUACCUGAAGAAUAAGCACCGGCUAACUACGUGCCAGCCGCCGCCGUAA